rnacentral:rRNA from 1 species
UCGAGCGGACCGACGGGAGCUUGCUCCCUUAGGUCAGCGGCGGACGGGUGAGUAACACGUGGGUAACCUGCCUGUAAGACUGGGAUAACUCCGGGAAACCGGGGCUAAUACCGGAUGCUUGAUUGAACCGCAUGGUUCAAUCAUAAAAGGUGGCUUUUAGCUACCACUUACAGAUGGACCCGCGGCGCAUUAGCUAGUUGGUGAGGUAACGGCUCACCAAGGCGACGAUGCGUAGCCGACCUGAGAGGGUGAUCGGCCACACUGGGACUGAGACACGGCCCAGACUCCUACGGGAGGCAGCAGUAGGGAAUCUUCCGCAAUGGACGAAAGUCUGACGGAGCAACGCCGCGUGAGUGAUGAAGGUUUUCGGAUCGUAAAACUCUGUUGUUAGGGAAGAACAAGUACCGUUCGAAUAGGGCGGUACCUUGACGGUACCUAACCAGAAAGCCACGGCUAACUACGUGCCAGCAGCCGCGGUAAUACGUAGGUGGCAAGCGUUGUCCGGAAUUAUUGGGCGUAAAGCGCGCGCAGGCGGUUUCUUAAGUCUGAUGUGAAAGCCCCCGGCUCAACCGGGGAGGGUCAUUGGAAACUGGGGAACUUGAGUGCAGAAGAGGAGAGUGGAAUUCCACGUGUAGCGGUGAAAUGCGUAGAGAUGUGGAGGAACACCAGUGGCGAAGGCGACUCUCUGGUCUGUAACUGACGCUGAGGCGCGAAAGCGUGGGGAGCGAACAGGAUUAGAUACCCUGGUAGUCCACGCCGUAAACGAUGAGUGCUAAGUGUUAGAGGGUUUCCGCCCUUUAGUGCUGCAGCAAACGCAUUAAGCACUCCGCCUGGGGAGUACGGUCGCAAGACUGAAACUCAAAGGAAUUGACGGGGGCCCGCACAAGCGGUGGAGCAUGUGGUUUAAUUCNAAGCAACGCGAAGAACUUACCAGGUCUUGACAUCCUCUGACAACCCUAGAGAUAGGGCUUCCC